AUAGUGAUGGACUGUCUACGGUGUGCCGAUGGGUUUAAAACAUACGGCUGCUGUCUUCAAUCGUCGGGUGCGGUCAACUUGCGCUUUGUCGACGCCUGACAAGGUCUGUUAAUGGUCAAGCAUCACACAAUUAUCAGUGCUUUCCGAAUAAAUAACAAUAAAUAGGGGCGGGCUGCUGCCGGCACAUUCGCAGGUGGGCUCCAUAGAUGGCAGCUUCUGGCAGCCGCCCGAACAGGGCCCAUGCAUCCCUGGCCGUCUCGGCGUCUCGCCCGCACUCCUCAAAUCUGCGCGCCUGCACCAUGCUCCAUGACUACUACGUCGGGAAAUUGGAUCCUGGCCCUGCCUGGCCCUGGAAGUCUCAGCUAAUCAUACGGUUAUUGACGAGUGUUGACGAGGAACUAAUGCGUACGGUUUCACCCGCAACGGAUUAGGCGGUUGGGCCGUGGGUUGGGCCGUGGGUUGGGCCUCGGUGGCAGGUCCUAGAGCCGCCAGGACGUGUUUGGGCGCAGGUCAAUGCACACGCUCCACGAGUGUGUAUCGAAAUCCCAAUCUCAAAUCGAACGUAGGGCGCUUGUGCACAACAACGGGAGUACGUGAUAGGAUAGGACGCGCCAGGGCAGGGGCCUCUGUGCUGGUUGAGUGCUUAUUCCAUUGGCGUCAGUACUAGCCGGCGUAGGCGUGCUCGCGUUGCAUAGCAUUGCGGCAACACACUUCUCGGAACCUCCACCUCUGAUAUCGGUAUGCUUUAAUGCUCUUAUCGACGUGCGUUGCGGAACUAAUGCGUACGCCAGGGGGGGGGUAGGAAACAAAGUGCCAGACCCCAUGCCCCGAAAUCCCCCGGGACCCCCCUUGAGGGGACGACCGACCCCCUGACGGACAAAACCUUGUUGUUCAGGGGUUAAAACCCCUCCAUUUAAUACCAAAGUGGUGUCAAUGGACUCCUCUUGACGAGCACUAUC
rnacentral:lncRNA from 1 species